rnacentral:lncRNA from 1 species
CUUGGUGCUGUCAGUGAUUUUCUUGAUGCACAUUUUAUAAAGAUGCGGCAAUAAUAGGCCCACUUGAGCUGCUUCAUAUGAUUAUGGUAAGGACAAAAAUAAAGUAUCAGAUAGGCAAGUGUUUUUAAAUGUUCUUAUCAUUUUGGGGGUUAUCUAUUUACUGUUAAAUACAUUUACAUACCGUUUCGUCUUGUUGCAAAACUAAGAAAUAAAGUACAUUUGAUAUUAUGUUUUUUUCUGAAAUAGUAGAGCCAAAUCGACCCAAUUCUCUUUAAUUUUUUGAAAAAUAGUAUUCAUAGUUUUGGAACAGUAUUAGAUCCACAGCAAAUUUAGUAGAAGGUACAGACAUUUAAAAAAGGUAUUAGGCAAAAAUAUGACAAGAGUAUUUCCCAAAGUAUACACUUACCAAGAAGUGUAAUAUUCUUCCCUUGCUAAGCUAAUAUUGGAUGUUGUUGAUGCUGUUUGGUUCUGGUAAGUGAAGACCGAAGAGCUGGGCUGGAGGCUUCUUAUACUCCCCUGUGGGCAGCAGAGAGCAACUGGUGAAGUGUGUCAGAGUAAAUGAUGGGCUGAGCCUCAGUCUACAGAGGAAAACUUCUCCUCAAUGUGACAAGAGCAGCGGCAACAAUCAGCUGGGGGUGCUUUCUGUGGCCUUGGACAGACUGUCUCAUCGGAUGGGCUUCCUUUCUGUCCACCUGUUCAGAUGCUGAUUGCACAGAAUGGGGGCAGAAGUGCUGAUGACACCACCCUGUGAUGAGCUGACUUAUGGCCUCGGUUCAGCAGCCGGCGUUCUACCUUCCUUUCUCCCUAGGAUUUGCGGAAAGCCUCAGCUAAAAGGGAAGACUAGAAAAUACGUGAGAUCUCUUUAGCUGGAAGAUGUGGUGGUUCCUUGGUUGGACUUGAGAAAACCUCCCUGAAUUUGGGAAGAGGAUAAAGGGUAGAAAGGGAAAAGCUGUAAUGGAUGCGAAAGCAGAGAAACUCUGAAAUAAUAUCUAACUGGAGCUAAUUACAAAGAAACCUGAAACUUGGGAGAAGUAGGACUGUUUCUUUGCCUCAAAAAUGGUGGGGGAGGGUGUGUUCAACCUUUGGGCUGUAUUACGAUAAACAUUAUUAAAAAUACAGAAAUAAAGCUUCAUUACUUGUAUACAUGAACUAUAUUAUGUAUUUUAUUUGAAACCCA